GAGGGUAUAGCUCAAUGGUAGAGUGCAUACGUAGCAUGCAUGAGGUCCUGGGUUCAAUCCCCAGUAUCUCCA
rfam:Camelus ferus unplaced genomic scaffold scaffold688, whole genome shotgun sequence.